UUAAGCGACUAAGCGUACACGGUGGAUGCCCUGGCAGUCAGAGGCGAUGAAGGACGUGCUAAUCUGCGAUAAGCGUCGGUAAGGUGAUAUGAACCGUUAUAACCGGCGAUUUCCGAAUGGGGAAACCCAGUGUGUUUCGACACACUAUCAUUAACUGAAUCCAUAGGUUAAUGAGGCGAACCGGGGGAACUGAAACAUCUAAGUACCCCGAGGAAAAGAAAUCAACCGAGAUUCCCCCAGUAGCGGCGAGCGAACGGGGAGCAGCCCAGAGCCUGAAUCAGUGUGUGUGUUAGUGGAAGCGUCUGGAAAGGCGCGCGAUACAGGGUGACAGCCCCGUACACAAAAAUGCACAUACUGUGAGCUCGAUGAGUAGGGCGGGACACGUGGUAUCCUGUCUGAAUAUGGGGGGACCAUCCUCCAAGGCUAAAUACUCCUGACUGACCGAUAGUGAACCAGUACCGUGAGGGAAAGGCGAAAAGAACCCCGGCGAGGGGAGUGAAAAAGAACCUGAAACCGUGUACGUACAAGCAGUGGGAGCCUCUUAAUGGGGUGACUGCGUACCUUUUGUAUAAUGGGUCAGCGACUUAUAUUCUGUAGCAAGGUUAACCGAAUAGGGGAGCCGAAGGGAAACCGAGUCUUAACUGGGCGUUAAGUUGCAGGGUAUAGACCCGAAACCCGGUGAUCUAGCCAUGGGCAGGUUGAAGGUUGGGUAACACUAACUGGAGGACCGAACCGACUAAUGUUGAAAAAUUAGCGGAUGACUUGUGGCUGGGGGUGAAAGGCCAAUCAAACCGGGAGAUAGCUGGUUCUCCCCGAAAGCUAUUUAGGUAGCGCCUCGUGAAUUCAUCUCCGGGGGUAGAGCACUGUUUCGGCAAGGGGGUCAUCCCGACUUACCAACCCGAUGCAAACUGCGAAUACCGGAGAAUGUUAUCACGGGAGACACACGGCGGGUGCUAACGUCCGUCGUGAAGAGGGAAACAACCCAGACCGCCAGCUAAGGUCCCAAAGUCAUGGUUAAGUGGGAAACGAUGUGGGAAGGCCCAGACAGCCAGGAUGUUGGCUUAGAAGCAGCCAUCAUUUAAAGAAAGCGUAAUAGCUCACUGGUCGAGUCGGCCUGCGCGGAAGAUGUAACGGGGCUAAACCAUGCACCGAAGCUGCGGCAGCGACACUAUGUGUUGUUGGGUAGGGGAGCGUUCUGUAAGCCUGUGAAGGUGUACUGUGAGGUAUGCUGGAGGUAUCAGAAGUGCGAAUGCUGACAUAAGUAACGAUAAAGCGGGUGAAAAGCCCGCUCGCCGGAAGACCAAGGGUUCCUGUCCAACGUUAAUCGGGGCAGGGUGAGUCGACCCCUAAGGCGAGGCCGAAAGGCGUAGUCGAUGGGAAACAGGUUAAUAUUCCUGUACUUGGUGUUACUGCGAAGGGGGGACGGAGAAGGCUAUGUUGGCCGGGCGACGGUUGUCCCGGUUUAAGCGUGUAGGCUGGUUUUCCAGGCAAAUCCGGAAAAUCAAGGCUGAGGCGUGAUGACGAGGCACUACGGUGCUGAAGCAACAAAUGCCCUGCUUCCAGGAAAAGCCUCUAAGCAUCAGGUAACAUCAAAUCGUACCCCAAACCGACACAGGUGGUCAGGUAGAGAAUACCAAGGCGCUUGAGAGAACUCGGGUGAAGGAACUAGGCAAAAUGGUGCCGUAACUUCGGGAGAAGGCACGCUGAUAUGUAGGUGAAGUCCCUUGCGGAUGGAGCUGAAAUCAGUCGAAGAUACCAGCUGGCUGCAACUGUUUAUUAAAAACACAGCACUGUGCAAACACGAAAGUGGACGUAUACGGUGUGACGCCUGCCCGGUGCCGGAAGGUUAAUUGAUGGGGUUAGCGGUAACGCGAAGCUCUUGAUCGAAGCCCCGGUAAACGGCGGCCGUAACUAUAACGGUCCUAAGGUAGCGAAAUUCCUUGUCGGGUAAGUUCCGACCUGCACGAAUGGCGUAAUGAUGGCCAGGCUGUCUCCACCCGAGACUCAGUGAAAUUGAACUCGCUGUGAAGAUGCAGUGUACCCGCGGCAAGACGGAAAGACCCCGUGAACCUUUACUAUAGCUUGACACUGAACAUUGAGCCUUGAUGUGUAGGAUAGGUGGGAGGCUUUGAAGUGUGGACGCCAGUCUGCAUGGAGCCGACCUUGAAAUACCACCCUUU
rnacentral:rRNA from 1 species